rnacentral:rRNA from 1 species
GGCGGCACGCCUAACACAUGCAAGUCGAACGAAGUAGCAAUACUUAGUGGCAGACGGGUGAGUAACAUGUGGGUACCUACCCUUUGGCCUGGAAUAACACGAGGAAACUUGUGCUAAUACUGGAUAAGUCUUUACGGAGAAAGCUUUAUGCACCAUUGGAUGAGCCUGCACUUGAUUAGUUUGUUGGUGGGGUAACGGCCUACCAAGACUUUGAUCAAUAGCUGAUUUGAGAGGAUGAUCAGCCACAUUGGGACUGAGACACGGCCCAAACUCCUACGGGAGGCAGCAGUGGGGAAUCUUGCACAAUGGAGGAAACUCUGAUGCAGCGAUGCCGCGUGAGUGAAGAAGGCCCUUGGGUUGUAAAGCUCUUUCGUCGGGGAAGAAAAUGACUGUACCCGAAUAAGAAGGUCCGGCUAACUUCGUGCCAGCAGCCGCGGUAAUACGAAGGGACCUAGCGUAGUUCGGAAUUACUGGGCUUAAAGAGUUCGUAGGUGGUUGAAAAAGUUGGUGGUGAAAUCCCAGAGCUUAACUCUGGAACUGCCAUCAAAACUUUUCAGCUAGAGUUUGAUAGAGGAAAGCAGAAUUUCUAGUGUAGAGGUGAAAU